ACUGCGCGAGCAGAUGCUAAUCUCAAAAAGCCGAUCGUAGUCCGGAUCGCAGUCUGCAACUCGACUGCGUGAAGUCGGAAUCGCUAGUAAUCGCGGAUCAGAAUGCCGCGGUGAAUACGUUCCCGGGCCUUGUACACACCGCCCGUCACACCAUGGGAGUUUGUUGCACCAGAAGUAGGUAGUCUAACCUUAGGGAGGACGCUUACCACGGUGUGGCCGAUGACUGGGGUGAAGUCGUAACAAGGUAGCCGUAGGGGAACCUGCGGCUGGAUCACCUCCUUA
rnacentral:rRNA from 1 species